GCAGACUUGAUUUCUGCUGAGACUUGAACUGAAAGAGCAAUCCCAAAAGCUUUGAUUAGAGCCUGGACUCACCGGUGAUGGUGUAUGUAACUUACAGGAGAUGUGUAAAGACUCGGGGCCGGGCCUGUGCUUUCUGUCAAACAAGAGAAGAGGAAUCCGUGGGCACUUUGUACGUCCAGUUUCAGAACCAUCUCAAACCUCCCCUCCAGCUCUGGGCUGUCUCUGGCGUGUGCUGGGCUGGAGCUCCUCAAUGCUGCAAACACCUGGAGAUGUUGGGACACAUCUGUAAUUCAGUGUUUCUAAAUAAACUGACUCAGUUUGCUGUGUCA